ensembl:lncRNA
GUCCCCAGACAAGUCCCUCAGCCCUUGCCCUCGGUUGCCGCCGCCUCCCUGCGCGAUGGAGCCAGGAGACUAGCCCCGCACCACGCUGCCCGGUCGAACGAGUCGGACCUCCAAGGCCACGCGCGCUGUCAGCGAGGCUCCGGAAGCCCACGGACAGCCUGGCGGAGGCAUGGAAUCCAGCGCAGCCGAGAAGACUGAGCCGGGGCGGCUUGAAUCCGCUCCCCAAAUGGUGUGGGACCCUUCACGGCGCGCUCUCCCCGGGCCUCCUUGGGUUCAGCCCAGGGCUCAGCGUUCGCCUCUCUCCCCUUCCCUCCGACGACUGCAGUCCCUCCUUCCGCCCGCCUUCUCUCUGGCCUAUAGAAACAACGAAUUCCUCCUCGUCUUUCCAGGCCUGGGUCCAAAGCCACCUCCUCCCUGAAGCCCCCUCUACCCUGAGCCCGAAGUCGUUUCUCCGAGCUCUUCAAAAGGCGCUUCCCUGCCUCUCGGCCCAGUCUCCUCUGUCUUCGCUGGGGUACGGCGGGCCCCGUCCGCUAGACUGGGAGUUCCUUGAGGGCCGGAACUGGAUCUGAUUCGUUUCCAUUUCCCCAGCCCCCAGCGUGGCCUGGUGCAGAAAAGAUGCACAACAAACAUUUGCUGAAUUGAGUGGAUUUUCCCCUUUAUUUUAUUAAUCCUUCCCCUUCCUUCUUUCCUUCUUUCUUUUCCUCCUUCCUUCCUCCCUCGUUAUUUUUUAUUUCUUGGUUAUAUUCAAUUGUCAUGUUUUUCAGGCUCAUUAAAUCCAUUUAGAGACAAAAGAAUAAAAGGCAGAAGGGGAAGGAGGGGGAGGAGGGAAGGGGGAGGGGAGGGGGAGGCCAGGGAAGCAAACAAAUAACCCGCUUUAACUAGACGGGCGGAUAAAUGGCCCCGUUUCUCCUCAGCCCCGAUGCGCCUGCUUAGCUGCGCGCCCCGCGGGCCCCGCAGCUCGGGUGGGCUUAGCCCCGGGGCCGCCGCCCCCAGCCCGAAGGGACCCAGCAGGGCCGGGCCCGGGGCCGCGAAGCGGGGAGCGGCCGGAGUUUCCUCGUGGACUCGCACGUUCGGAUUCAGGCCCGGGGGCCCCAGCGCCUGCCCGAGAACAGAUGCGCAUUUCUCACAUCAAUUUUGCUUAGAAAGAGAGCCGAGUGGCCUGGAGGCGGGACCUUCCUCUAGUGACAGCGGCCACUCGCCAGCCCAGUGAUAACAAAAGCCCAGAGAGAAACCCGGUCCGUUCGGAAAAGUGAAAGCUGCCCCUGUUCCUGCCCCAGCCGCACUCGGGACGCUGGGACACCCCCCACCAACCCCCCGCAGAGUUCUUGGUAGAUUUAUGUCUCUGUCCCCAGCAGCGUUCGGGGCCCAGAAUUUGUGAGCCUUACCAGAAAUCCAUCCCAACUCACAGACGCCUCGGGCUCACAUCUUCCUGUGCCCAUGUCAGCAAUUUAGUCUGCCCUCGUGCCUUUGGCUUUUUCUUCCCUCCCUCAAGGCUGAGGCCCUCUGGCGAACCGAAACUUGGGAGCCCUCAGGCUCCACCCCGCUGUCCGACUGAGCUGUACCACCCAAGGCUUAGCCGGUGUCCCGGGGAGCGCAGGAAGAAUACCCUUGGGUCCCGGCUGCGAUGCACGAACCCCAGGGCAAGUGCCCCUACCCUCAGCCUUUGCCCCACAUAAAUUAAUUUCGCACCCGUGGCGCCCUCAAAGUACGCACAGAUUUCCUCCCAGUAUUGUACGCCUCACUUUUUACCCGGACCUGGCGAAGCCCGCUUCUCUCGCCCCCUCACCAUUUGGUAGCUGCCGCGUGUUCGUGGGCAACAAGCGCCUCCUCUCUCUCACCACUUCCCCCUCACCCUUCAUUCUCACGCCUGCCCCGAAACUCCUCCAAAUCGCCAAGGCCUAGGCAGCCCGAGAGCAGGAGCCGAGAGACAUCGAGCCUGCCGCGGCUUCACUGAAGAAGGUCCACUCAUUCAGACACGGUCACCGCCGGUUCUAGUAAAAUGGCAAAGACUUUAUUUAUCGGAGAAAGAGGCCUUAGUUACAGUCCGGGAGGGAGAGGGCAGGGCAGGAGAAGGGGAGUGGCACGCGGGACCCACCCUCAUCCAGCCACCCUUGUCUGGCCAAGACGAGCUAGGAGCAGGGCAUUGGAGACUGCAAGACAGACCCAGAGCUGUGGAGGAGGUGGGUGAGGGUUUAGGCGGGCCUCCUCUCAGUCUCUGUCACAUGCAAAGAAAUUCUAAAAAGAGUAAAAAAUAAUGCUUGGACUUUGGGUUCCGUUUUCGUUGGUUGGUUGUUGGAUUUCCCCCUGCUUUGUCCCUAAGACCCGGACCCCAGUAGUCAGUCCAAGGCAACCAAGAGAGGGUGGGAAGGAAUCUUUAAAAUAACAUUUCUGGGCAUUAGGAGGCAGAAAUGGCAUCGAAAACGGACUUUUCUCGCGGAGGGGGAGGUUUGGGGGAGAAAACAUUGAUUUGAAACUUGCAAGUCAGGACCCGGUUGUCCCCCUCAGUCCCUUCCCACGCGGGGGAGAAAUAAACGCAGAAGGGAAUAAAAGAAAUCA